CGACUCUCGGCAACGGAUAUCUUGGUUCUCGCAUCGAUGAAGAACGUAGCGAAAUGCGAUACUUGGUGUGAAUUGCAGAAUCCCGCGAACCAUCGAGUCUUUGAACGCAAGUUGCGCCCGAGGCUAUCCGGCCGAGGGCACGC
rnacentral:rRNA from 1 species